GACAGAGGGUGCAAACGUUGUUCGGAAUUAUUGGGCGUAAAGCGCGCGUAGGCGGUUACUUAUGUCGGAUGUGAAAGCCCUCGGCUUAACUGAGGAAGUGCAUUCGAAACUGGGUAGCUAGAGUACUAAAGAGGGUCGCGGAAUUCCCGGUGUAGAGGUGAAAUUCGUAGAUAUCGGGAGGAACACCGGUGGCGAAGGCGGCGACCUGGGUAGAUACUGACGCUGAGGUGCGAAAGCGUGGGGAGCAAACAGG
rnacentral:rRNA from 1 species